rnacentral:rRNA from 1 species
UACAGAGGGGGCAAGCGUUAUCCGGAAUUAUUGGGCGUAAAGAGCUCGUAGGCGGUUUGUCGCGUCUGCCGUGAAAGUCCGGGGCUCAACUCCGGAUCUGCGGUGGGUACGGGCAGACUAGAGUGAUGUAGGGGAGACUGGAAUUCCUGGUGUAGCGGUGAAAUGCGCAGAUAUCAGGAGGAACACCUAUAGCGAAGGCAGCUUGCUGGGACGUUACUGACGCUAAGGCGCGAAAGCGUGGGGAGCGAACAGG